CCUACGGGGGGCAGCAGUGGGGAAUAUUGCACAAUGGGGGAAACCCUGAUGCAGCGACGCCGCGUGAGUGAAGAAGUAUUUCGGUAUGUAAAGCUCUGUCAGCAGGGAAGAAAAUGACGGUACCUGAAUAAGAAGCCCCGGCUAACUACGUGCCAGCAGCCGCGGUAAUACGUAGGGGGCAAGCGUUAUCCGGAUUUACUGGGUGUAAAGGGGGCGUAGACGGCAGAACAAGUCUGGAGUGAAAGGCCGGGGCUGAACCCCGGAACUGCUUUUGAAACUGCGUAGCUAGAGUGCAGGAGAGGUAAGCGGAAUUCCUGGUGUAGCGGUGAAAUGCGUAGAUAUUAGGAGGAACACCAGUGGCGAAGGCGGCUUACUGGACUGUAACUGACGUUGAGGCCCGAAAGCGUGGGGAGCAAACAGGAUUAGAUACCCGGGUAGUC
rnacentral:rRNA from 1 species